UACGGAGGGGGCGAGCGUUAUUCGGAAUUAUUGGGCGUAAAGGGCGCGUAGGCGGCCCGCUAAGUCGAACGUGAAAUCCCCGAGCUCAACUCGGGAACUGCGUCCGAUACUGGCGGGCUUGAAUCCGGGAGAGGGAUGCGGAAUUCCAGGUGUAGCGGUGAAAUGCGUAGAUAUCUGGAGGAACACCGGUGGCGAAGGCGGCAUCCUGGACCGGCAUUGACGCUGAGGCGCGAAAGCCAGGGGAGCAAACGGG
rnacentral:rRNA from 1 species